AUUGAACGCUGGCGGCAGGCCUAACACAUGCAAGUCGAGCGGAGCGGCGGUCGGGUGAGUAAUGCCUAGGUAUCUGCCUGUUACUGGGGGAUAACGUCCGGAACCGGGCGCUAAUACCACAUACUAUCAGAUGAGCCUAGGUCGGAUUGGCUAGUUGGUGGGGUAAAGGCCUACCAAGGCGACGAUCCCUAACUGGUCUGAGAGGAUGAUCAGUCACACGGGAACUGAGACACGGUCCAGACGCCUACGGGAGGCAGCAGUGGGGAAUAUUGGACAAUGGGCGCAAGCCUGAUGCAGCCAUGCCGCGUGUGUGAAGAAGGUCUUCGGAUUGUAAAGCACUUUAAGUGGGGAGGCGUUACCCACAGAAGAAGCACCGGCUAACUCCGUGCCAGCAGCCGCGGUAAUAC
rnacentral:rRNA from 1 species